CCUACGGGAGGCAGCAGUGAGGAAUAUUGGUCAAUGGACGCAAGUCUGAACCAGCCAUGCCGCGUGCAGGAAGACGGCCCUAUGAGUUGUAAACUGCUUUUGUACGAGGGUAAACGCAGAUACGCGUAUCUGUCUGAAAGUAUCGUACGAAUAAGGAUCGGCUAACUCCGUGCCAGCAGCCGCGGUAAUACGGAGGAUUCAAGCGUUAACCGGAUUUAUUGGGUUUAAAGGGUGCGUAGGCGGUCGGAUAAGUUAGAGGGGAAAUCCCGAGGCUCAACUUCGGAAUUGCGUCUGAUACUGGUCGGCUAGAGAGUAGUUGAGGUAGGCGGAAUGUAUGGUGUAGCGGUGAAAUGCUUAGAGAUCAUACAGAACACCGAUUGCGAAGGCAGCUUACCGAGCUACUUCUGACGUUGAGGCACGAAAGCGUGGGGAGCAAACAGGAUUAGAUACCCUUGUAGUC
rnacentral:rRNA from 1 species